rnacentral:rRNA from 1 species
GACGAACGCUGGCGGCGUGCUUAACACAUGCAAGUCGAACGAAGUGGCGAACGGGUGAGUAACGCGUAAUCAACCUGCCCUUCAGAGGGGGACAACAGUUGGAAACGACUGCUAAUACAGCAUACUGAAGGAGGGGAUUGCGUCUGAUUAGGUAGUUGGAGGGGUAACGGCCCACCAAGGCGAUGAUCAGUAGCCGGGCUGGGAGGAGGGACGGCCAAAUUGGGACUGGUACCCGGCCCAGAAUCCUACGGGAGGCAGCAGUGGGGAAUCUUCCGCAAUGGAAGAAAGUCUGACGGAGCAACGCCGCGUGAGUGAUGACGGCCUUCGGGUUGGAAAGCUCUGUUAAUCGGGACGCGGUACCGGAAUAGAAAGCCACGGCUAACUACGUGCCAGCAGCCGCGGUAAUAC